GGAAGGAUCAUUAUCGUACAACCAGAGGGGUCAGGGCUGUCGCUGACCCUUUCGAGGGUCGUGCACGCCCUGGGCAUCCUCCCAUCGUCCAACCUUACCUUUGUGCAUCACCGCGUGGGCCCCCCUUUUAAAAGGGGGCUUGCGUUUUUCAAACAGACACCCUUCUGAUGCAGUACAGAAUGUCUUUCACUUUUUUUUUGCGAUAGUACGCAAUCAAUACAACUUUCAACAACGGAUCUCUUGGCUCUCGCAUCGAUGAAGAACGCAGCGAAAUGCGAUACGUAAUGUGAAUUGCAGAAUUCAGUGAAUCAUCGAAUCUUUGAACGCACCUUGCGCCCCUUGGCAUUCCGAGGGGCACACCCGUUUGAGUGUCGUGAAAUCCUCAACCUUCUCCCUUUCUUGUUGAAUUGGGGGAAAGGCUUGGACUUUGGAGGUAUCAUUUUUUGCUGGCCUCUUUCCACUUGAAGCCAGCUCCUCUUAAAGGAAUUAGUGGGAUCCCCUUUGCCGAUCCUUGACGUGAUAAGCUUUUGCAACCUCGUCUCGAGAGGUAGAGAAACCCUGCUUCUAAAUUGUCUCGUUUGAGACACGGGUGGUUUUGAAAGGUUUGCCCCUUUGACCCACCAAACCCCUUUUGACCUCAAAUCGGGUGAGACUACCCGCUGAACUUAAGCAUAUCAAUAAGCGGAGGAAAAGAAACUAACAAGGAUUCCCCUAGUAACUGCGAGUGAAGCGGGAAAAGCUCAAAUUUAAAAUCUGGCGGUCUUUGGCUGUCCGAGUUGUAAUUUAGAGAAGCGUCUUCCGCGCCGGACCGUGCACAAGUCUCCUGGAAUGGAGCGUCAUAGAGGGUGAGAAUCCCGUCUUUGGCAUGGAACCCCCGGGGCUUCUGUGAUGCGCUCUCAAAGAGUCGAGUUGUUUGGGAAUGCAGCUCAAAAUGGGUGGUGAACUCCAUCUAAAGCUAAACAUUGGCGAGAGACCGAUAGCGAACAAGUACCGUGAGGGAAAGAUGAAAAGCACUUUGGAAAGAGAGUGAAACAGUACGUGAAAUUGUUGAAAGGGAAACGCUUGGAGUCAGUCGCGUCGACCGAGACUCAGCCUUGCCUCGGCUUGGUGUACUUCUCGGCUGACGGGCCAGCAUCAAUUCGGUCCCUCAGAUAAUGGCAAGGGAAAGGUGGCACCCUUAUGGGUGUGUUAUAGUCCCCCGUCGCAUGUGAGGGGUGGGAUUGAGGAACUCAGCACGCGCCUCUCGGUGUCGGGGCUUCGGCCCACGUUUAACGUGCUUAGGAUGCUGGCGUAAUGGCUCCAAACGACCCGUCUUGAAACACGGACCAAGGAGUCUAACAUGCCUGCGAGUGUUCGGGUGGAAAACUCGUGCGCGAAAUGAAAGUGAAAGUUGGGACCUCUGUCGUGGAGGGCACCGACGCCCGGACCAGACCUUCUGUGACGGAUCUGCGGUAGAGCAUGCAUGUUGGGACCCGAAAGAUGGUGAACUAUGCCUGAAUAGGGUGAAGCCAGAGGAAACUCUGGUGGAGGCUCGUAGCGAUUCUGACGUGCAAAUCGAUCGUCAAAUUUGGGUAUAGGGGCGAAAGACUAAUCGAACCAUCUAGUAGCUGGUUCCUGC
rnacentral:misc_RNA from 1 species